GGUAAUGUGGCUUAGUGGUAGAGUGCUUGCAUAGCAUGCAUGAAGCCCUGGGUUUGAUUCCUCAGUACCA
rnacentral:tRNA from 1 species